rnacentral:rRNA from 1 species
UACGGGGGGGGCAAGCGUUGUUCGGAAUUACUGGGCGUAAAGGGCUCGUAGGUGGCCAACUAAGUCAGACGUGAAAUCCCUCGGCUUAACCGGGGAACUGCGUCUGAUACUGGAUGGCUUGAGUUUGGGAGAGGGAUGCGGAAUUCCAGGUGUAGCGGUGAAAUGCGUAGAGAUCAUGAGGAAGACCAGUGGCGAAGGCGGGUCUCUGGACAGUUCCUGACACUGAGGCACGAAGGCCAGGGGAGCAAACGGG